rnacentral:rRNA from 1 species
AGACCCGAAACCCGGUGAUCUAGCCAUGGGCAGGUUGAAGGUUGGGUAACACUAACUGGAGGACCGAACCGACUAAUGUUGAAAAAUUAGCGGAUGACCUGUGGCUGGGGGUGAAAGGCCAAUCAAACCGGGAGAUAGCUGGUUCUCCCCGAAAGCUAUUUAGGUAGCGCCUCGUGAAUUCAUCUCCGGGGGUAGAGCACUGUUUCGGCUAGGGGGCCAUCCCGGCUUACCAACCCGAUGCAAACUGCGAAUACCGGAGAAUGUUAUCACGGGAGACACACGGCGGGUGCUAACGUCCGUCGUGAAGAGGGAAACAACCCAGACCGCCAGCUAAGGUCCCAAAGUCAUGGUUAAGUGGGAAACGAUGUGGGAAGGCCCAGACAGCCAGGAUGUUGGCUUAGAAGCAGCCAUCAUUUAAAGAAAGCGUAAUAGCUCACUGGUCGAGUCGGCCUGCGCGGAAGAUGUAACGGGGCUAAACCAUGCACCGAAGCUGCGGCAGCGACACUGUGUGUUGUUGGGUAGGGGAGCGUUCUGUAAGCCUGUGAAGGUGGCCUGUGAGGGUUGCUGGAGGUAUCAGAAGUGCGAAUGCUGACAUAAGUAACGAUAAAGCGGGUGAAAAGCCCGCUCGCCGGAAGACCAAGGGUUCCUGUCCAACGUUAAUCGGGGCAGGGUGAGUCGACCCCUAAGGCGAGGCCGAAAGGCGUAGUCGAUGGGAAACGGGUUAAUAUUCCCGUACUUGGUGUUACUGCGAAGGGGGGACGGAGAAGGCUAUGUUGGCCGGGCGACGGUUGUCCCGGUUUAAGCGUGUAGGUGUGUGUUCCAGGUAAAUCCGGUUCACUUUAACACUGAGGCGUGACGACGAGGCACUACGGUGCUGAAGCAACAAAUGCCCUGCUUCCAGGAAAAGCCUCUAAGCAUCAGGUAACAUCAAAUCGUACCCCAAACCGACACAGGUGGUCAGGUAGAGAAUACCAAGGCGCUUGAGAGAACUCGGGUGAAGGAACUAGGCAAAAUGGUGCCGUAACUUCGGGAGAAGGCACGCUGACACGUAGGUGAAGUGAUUUACUCAUGGAGCUGAAGUCAGUCGAAGAUACCAGCUGGCUGCAACUGUUUAUUAAAAACACAGCACUGUGCAAACACGAAAGUGGACGUAUACGGUGUGACGCCUGCCCGGUGCCGGAAGGUUAAUUGAUGGGGUCAGCGCAAGCGAAGCUCCUGAUCGAAGCCCCGGUAAACGGCGGCCGUAACUAUAACGGUCCUAAGGUAGCGAAAUUCCUUGUCGGGUAAGUUCCGACCUGCACGAAUGGCGUAAUGAUGGCCAGGCUGUCUCCACCCGAGACUCAGUGAAAUUGAACUCGCUGUGAAGAUGCAGUGUACCCGCGGCAAGACGGAAAGACCCCGUGAACCUUUACUAUAGCUUGACACUGAACAUUGAGCCUUGAUGUGUAGGAUAGGUGGGAGGCUUUGAAGUGUGGACGCCAGUCUGCAUGGAGCCGGCCUUGAAAUACCACCCUUUAAUGUUUGAUGUUCUAACGUGGACCCGU